UAUCAAUGAUGAAAAAUAGCCAAAUCUGAUCACCAGCUCUGCUGGUACAUGAUCUGGUGAAACCUGGGA